UACGGAGGGUGCGAGCGUUAAUCGGAAUUAUUGGGCGUAAAGGGUGCGUAGGUGGUAUGAUAAGUUAUCUGUGAAAACCCUGGGCUUAACCUGGGGGAGAGAGAUAAGACUGUUGAACUAGAGUAUGGGAGAGGGCAGUGGAAUUUCCGGUGUAGCGGUGAAAUGCGUAGAGAUCGGAAGGAACACCGGUGGCGAAGGCGGCUGCCUGGCCUAAUACUGACACUGAGGCACGAAAGCGUGGGGAGCAAACAGG
rnacentral:rRNA from 1 species